rnacentral:rRNA from 1 species
AUUGAACGCUGGCGGCAGGCCUAACACAUGCAAGUCGAACGAGUGGCGCACGGGUGAGUAAUGUCUGGGAAACUGCCUGAUGGAGGGGGAUAACUACUGGAAACGGUAGCUAAUACCGCAUACCAUCGGAUGUGCCCAGAUGGGAUUAGCUAGUAGGUGGGGUAACGGCUGACCUAGGCGACGAUCCCUAGCUGGUCUGAGAGGAUGACCAGCCACGCUGGAAGUGAGACACGGUCCGGACUCCGGCGGAAGGCAGCAGUGGGGAAUAUUGCACAAUGUGCGCAAGCCUGAUGCAGCCAUGCGGCGUGUAUGAAGAAGGCCUUCGGGUUGUAAAGUACUUUCAGCGGGGAGGAGUUACCCGAAGAAGAGGCACCGGCUAACUCCGUGCCAGCAGCCGCGGUAAUUC